rnacentral:rRNA from 1 species
CGGGUGAGUAACGCGUGAGUAACCUGCCUUACACAAGGGGAUAGCCGUUGGAAACGACGAAUAAUACCCUAUGACAUAAACUCUUCGCAUGAGGAGCUUAUCAAAGAUUUAUCGGUGUAAGAUUGACUCGCGUCUGAUUAGCUAGUUGGUGAGGUAACGGCCCACCAAGGCGACGAUCAGUAGCCGGCUUGAGAGAGUGUACGGCCACAUUGGGACUGAGACACGGCCCAGACUCCUACGGGAGGCAGCAGCA